rnacentral:rRNA from 1 species
GAUGAACGCUGGCGGCGUGCCUAAUACAUGCAAGUCGAGCGAACGGACGAGAAGCUUGCUUCUCUGAUGUUAGCGGCGGACGGGUGAGUAACACGUGGAUAACCUACCUAUAAGACUGGGAUAACUUCGGGAAACCGUAGCUAAUACCGGAUAAUAUUUUGAACCGCAUGGUUCAAAAGUGAAAGACGGUCUUGCUGUCACUUAUAGAUGGAUCCGCGCUGCAUUAGCUAGUUGGUAAGGUAACGGCUUACCAAGGCAACGAUGCGUAGCCGACCUGAGAGGGUGAUCGGCCACACUGGAACUGAGACACGGUCCAGACUCCUACGGGAGGCAGCAGUAGGGAAUCUUCCGCAAUGGGCGAAAGCCUGACGGAGCAACGCCGCGUGAGUGAAGAAGGUCUUCGGAUCGUAAAACUCUGUUAUUAGGGAAGAACAUAUGUGUAAGUAACUGUGCACAGCUUGACGGUACCUAAUCAGAAAGCCACGGCUAACUACGUG